UUCAUGAACGCUAUGUGCAGAUAGGACCAGGCCAGCUAUAUGUGGGCUCCACACAGACCUUCUUGAAGGACGGAGCUCCUACUCACUUCCACUGCAACCAUACAAUCCAGUAUGACUCUGCCCUGGGGCCCCAGCCCCAGCUGGUGCAACACCUUCGUGCCACAGAGGUCAGUUCAGCCUUUGACCCUGGGGCAGAGGCUCUCCGAUUCCAGCUCACCACAGCUCUCCAAGCAGAUGAGAAUGAAGCUGAUUGCCCUGAGGGCUUUGUGCUGGAUUCACUACAGACCUUUUGUACUGAUAAGGAUGAAUGUUCCAGCAGCAAGAGCCCCUGUUCCCACACCUGCCACAACUCCUUGGGCCGUUUUUCUUGC